CUCCUGCCAGUUGUAGAAACGGAUACUGAUAUCGAGACAAGGCGGGAAAUCGCUCUCAAAUGUCUCAUCAUCAACAUGAGAGAAUCAGUGGAUGAUCUGAUCCAAGAAUUCCUGGUGUCUGAGAAGGAAGAGGCUGAACACAUGCUUCAGG